AGAACGAACGCUGGCGGCAUGCCUAACACAUGCAAGUCGAACGAGACCUUCGGGUCUAGUGGCGCACGGGUGCGUAACGCGUGGGAAUCUGCCCUUGGGUUCGGAAUAACAGCGAGAAAUUGCUGCUAAUACCGGAUGAUGACGUAAGUCCAAAGAUUUAUCGCCCAAGGAUGAGCCCGCGUAGGAUUAGCUUGUUGGUGAGGUAAGAGCUCACCAAGGCGACGAUCCUUAGCUGGUCUGAGAGGAUGAUCAGCCACACUGGGACUGAGACACGGCCCAGACUCCUACGGGAGGCAGCGAGUGGGGAAUAUUGGACGAAGUGGGCGAAAGCCUGAUCCAGCAAUGCGCGUGAGUGAUGAAGCCUUAGGU
rnacentral:rRNA from 1 species